rnacentral:rRNA from 1 species
UACGAAGGGGGCUAGCGUUGUUCGGAAUCACUGGGCGUAAAGCGCACGUAGGCGGACUUUCAAGUCAGGGGUGAAAUCCCGGAGCUCAACUUCGGAAUUGCCUUUGAUACUGUUGGUCUCGAGUCCGGAAGAGGUGGGUGGAAUUCCUAGUGUAGAGGUGAAAUUCGUAGAUAUUAGGAAGAACACCAGUGGCGAAGGCGGCUCACUGGCCCGGUACUGACGCUGAGGCGCGAAAGCGUGGGGAGCAAACAGG